GGAUGAGAAGCUCAGUGCUCUUUUGAUAUUUUCGGAUUUCACGGAGAGCAACAGUUCCAGGUCGGUAACGAUGAGGCUUCUUCACUCCUCCUGUGGUAGGGGCUGACUUCCUUGCAGCCUUUGUAGCAAGUUGCUUCCUUGGAGCCUUUCCACCGGUUGAUUUACGAGCUGUCUGCUUAGUACGAGCCAUUUCUUCACAAUCUGAGAAAGUUGCAGAGAGAAUUUGAAAUUUG
rnacentral:misc_RNA from 1 species